rnacentral:rRNA from 1 species
AAUCAACGCUGGCGGCGUGCCUCAGACAUGCAAGUCGAACGAUUAAAGCUCUCUUCGGAGAGUGCAUAGAGUGGCGCACGGGUGAGUAACACGUAAGUAAUCUACCUUCGAGUGGGGAAUAACGUCCGGAAACGGACGCUAAUACCGCAUAAUGCAGCGGCAUCGCAAGAUGACAGUUGUUAAAGGAGCAAUUCGCUUGAAGAGGAGCUUGCGGCAGAUUAGCUUGUUGGUAAGGUAACGGCUUACCAAGGCUACGAUCUGUAACCGGUCUAAGAGGACGGUCGGUCACACUGACACUGAAUAACGGGUCAGACUCCUACGGGAGGCAGCAGUCGGGAAUUUUGGGCAAUGGGGGAAACCCUGACCCAGCAACGCCGCGUGAAGGAUGAAGUAUUUCGGUAUGUAAACUUCGAAAGAAUAGGAAGAAUAAAUGACGGUACUAUUUAUAAGGUCCGGCUAACUACGUGCCAGCCGCCGCUGU